CACACACACACACACACACUCUCUCUCUCUCACACCGCCAUCCAUAACUCUUGAGCCAGAAGGAGUCUCAGAAGCCAGCUUGUCCAAACACCUCAUUAAACACGAGGCAACUGAGGCCCCAGGAGGCGAUGGGACCUGUCCAAAGUCACAUGGGCAAUAAGUAUUCGAAAUAGGAUUUGAACUCAGGUUCUCUUAGCCCAGAGCCAAGGCUCUUUCCACUCUGCCUCCCUGUCCUGGGUGGCCAGGGGCUGAAGGAGGCAGGACUUUUCUAAAAUUCUGGGGAAAUGUGCAUGGAGAAGGGAAUGGGGGAAGAAGGGCUGUGCAGGCGCUGACCGGGCUGAGUGCCUUCCUCCCCUGAGACCCGGGGCUCCGUGUCACUGUGUAACAGGUCCUGUGUCGCGGCUUCCUUUCAGUCCGAUGUCUGUGACAGGAUGGCUGUGCCAGCCUUCACGCUGUACGUGGCAUUAAAGUGAAGUAUUGGAGGUGGGCGUGUGUACUUGGUCUUUUUGGGGGCUAGCUGUCUCCUCUCCCCUAACCCCAACUUCACAGAAUCCUAAGAUUCAGAGCUGGAAGGGAUCUUAGCACCCCCUCGGCGAACACAAGGCCAAGAGAGGCUGUGCCAUCGUGACACCUUUGUGACUGCCGAGACUCGGAUGUUGGUGCCGACUCCAUUCACUGCCUCGGACUAAUGUUCCUAAUGCUCUUUGCUGCCAAAGCCGGGAGCCCCGGCCCUGAAUUGCCCCAAAGGACUCUACAGACCUGGCUUCCUUCCAUCUCCUCCUCCAGUGUCCGUGGGGGGGACCUGAAUAAAGGUUUCUGUUUUCUAUAACUCAGACUUGAAAAGCACCAGA